rnacentral:rRNA from 1 species
GACGAACGCUGGCGGCGUGCUUAACACAUGCAAGUCGAACGGAAAGGCCCUGCUUGCCGGGUACUCGAGUGGCGAACGGGUGAGUAACACGUGGGUGAUCUGCCCUGCACUUCGGGAUAAGCCUGGGAAACUGGGUCUAAUACCGGAUAGGAGCCAUUUUUAGUGUGAUGGUUGGAAAGUUUUUUCGGUGUAGGAUGAGCUCGCGGCCUAUCAGCUUGUUGGUGGGGUAAUGGCCUACCAAGGCGGCGACGGGUAGCCGGCCUGAGAGGGUGGACGGCCACAAUGGGACUGAGAGACGGAGCAGACUGCUACCGGAGGCAGUAGUGGGGAAUAUUGCACAAUAGGCGCAAGCCUGAUGCAGCGACGCCGCGUGGGGGAUGACGGCCUUCGGGCUGUAAACUCCGGUCGCUAGGGACGAAGCUUUUUGUGACGGUACCUAGAUAAGAAGCACCGGCUAACUACGUG